UACAUACAUUAUAGUGAUAUUGUAAGGCAAUGAUAUAUUGUCAAUUUUCCUGGUUGAUAGUUUAUGAGGCCGUCUAUGAUUGGAGUAUAGUGAUUAUAGGAUUGAGAGUGAACAUUUAUAAAAUGAAUAUGGGUGUUUUUUUUCUAGUCAUGGAUGUAUACAUCACAUGGUAUACAUAUUAUUUUUCUUUAAUAUUUUACUAGUCUCUUUCUCUAGCGAUUCUAAUAGAAUUUACACAGGGAGACAACCCAUGUUAAAAUGAUUUUAAUUAUGCUACUUCUUAUAGUGAAUUUUCAUACGACUUUCAACUUUCCAAAUUUAAAUCAUUUUAAUAAUUAGAGAAUAUCUUCAAUAUUAUCUACCGUUGCGUUUUGAAUGUUUAAAAAAGUUUAACAAAAAAACAACCGACUUCAAAAACACUAUUCCAAAACAAUAGAUAUAAUAUGCACUAAAAAGUAUAAAAAUAAUUGCGUAUUUUCUGUAAAAUCUAAUUAAUUAAUCUAAUUCUAGUUACGAUUUAUGUAAUUUUUUCCUAAUUACAAUGGGACCACAUGGGAAGCACCAGCUUUCAAUUAAACAAAAUAAUUAUCAAAAUCGGUUCACUCAGUCGAAAGUUUUGAGGUAAUAAACAUAAAAUACCGACGAAUUGAGAUCCUCCUGUUUUGAAGUCGGUUAAAAAGACUUGCUUUACUUCAACAUGACGUAUAAUGGGACAUAUUCGAGCGGGAGCUGUGUAAAAUCCUUUACGAGGGUCAGUUUGAUGUGUUUGUCUUACAAUAAGUAGUAAAGUGUGUGUAUGUACGCGUGUGUUAUGUCACAGUGUUUGUCGCGGGCGCCUGGCAUCUCGCCAGCCGCCACUCUUACACACACUAUUACAACACCCACACGCGAAUACCUCGACCAUAUAUUCUGCGACGCCACUUUAAAAACGCUGAUAAUGCCCAUGUGUCACAAGGAAUCUUUAUUUUCGAGGGACAGCUCUCUCUCUAAUACUAACUAUUUGAUAUUCUUAAUAUAAAAUGUGGUUUUGAAGCCCCUGUCAAGGUUGAUUUAAGGUUGGAUUAUAAAUAAGUUGUGCGAGCAAUGUCGCGGCACCUGUUUGCUAUUAUAAUGAUACGUCUGUGAUUUGGACACGGAACUUGAUCGCAUUGUUACGACAAUGCUGACCUUUCUCUGACAACGAUGAUAUAGACGCGAACCUCGCCUGUGUAUAACACAAACUCAAUAUAUUUAUAUCACCUUAUGGCGUCCACGUUGUCUGCGCUGGGUUCUGUGGACGUGAAGCCGUUGGGGACCAGAGCGGCGCUCAUAGCAGCCUCCACCCAGAAUAUGGCUGACAGAAUAAUGAAGCAGUACCGGAACAGUGGGGA